rnacentral:lncRNA from 13 species
UCAGGGUUCACAUUUUGGUAACCAUAGAGGGAUUCUGAGUGGAGAUGGCCCUGACCUUUGACAAAUCUCCUAUCUGUACUUGGUACCAGCAUGAGCUAACUUUAUGGCUCAAACAAACAGGAAAAUUUGCUGAGGUCUGAGAGUACACCCUCCAGAGUUGUUAUUUGUGUCCAACAGUACCGAAUAUUAAAUGCAUUUAAUAAAGAGAUCUUCCAAACAGGCUUUGUGUGGGCAACAAGACCAUUUUAUUUCGCAUUUGAGUGCAAGCUGGCCGAACGCGAGAAAGGACAGGUGAAGGGAGUAAGGGUGGGAAUUGGUUUUAUAGGUUGGGGCAACUUUUUGGAGGGUGGGAGUGUUACAGAGUAAAAUCAGUUACAGUGGUGGGGGUAAGGACAAGGAGUAUACAUUACCAUAAGUUCAGUUACAAUGGCAGGUGGGGUAAGGCAUAAGAGUAGUCAAGAUGGUAGGGUGGGGCAAAGAGUAUUCAUAUUAUCAUAAGAACAGUUAAGGUGGCAGGGUGGGGUGAGAGGUCCACUUUCUGGGUCCACGCUUGCAUGUGGAGACCCAACACAGAGAGUCCCUGAUCUUCCCAAAUUUGGUCAAGAUCUAAAGUUGAUUUUGCUAUUCAACUCCUCUUUUUCUGGAGUUUCACUUACUUCCAACACAAGGAAGGCAACUUUUUUUGCUUCCAUGAGAAUGGAAUGAAGGUAGAUGAGGGUUUUUUGUUUCUGUUUUUGUUUUCCUGCUUCUAGGAUGGUAGAAAGCAGUCCUCAGCCUGAGACUCAUCCCUUGUCCACCAGGGUCUUCGGGACAAACCCAGCAGGUGGUACCGCAUAUGAAGAAGGCUGCAAUGUAUUGCAAUGGAACUCUCGAAAAUGAAAGUGAAGUGACUGUGUAGAAAGUAAUUCCUCAAGGAAUGCUGAACACUCCUACUGUAAGGCCAGUUGCCUCGACGGAAGGCU